rnacentral:rRNA from 1 species
UACGAAGGGGGCUAGCGUUGUUCGGAUUUACUGGGCGUAAAGCGCACGUAGGCGGAUCGUUAAGUCGGGGGUGAAAUCCUGGAGCUCAACUCCAGAACUGCCUUCGAUACUGGCGAUCUUGAGUCCGGAAGAGGUGAGUGGAACUCCUAGUGUAGAGGUGGAAUUCGUAGAUAUUAGGAAGAACACCAGUGGCGAAGGCGGCUCACUGGUCCGGUACUGACGCUGAGGUGCGAAAGCGUGGGGGAGCAAACAGG